AUGCGUGCAGGCAUAGAGGAGGUAUUUCCGUUGGCAGUGCACAGGCACUGCAGGUGGCACAUUAUAAAGAAGGUUGAAGAGACGCUAGGACCGUUCUUUGCUGACCGUCCAGAGCUCCACAAGGCGUUCGAGCUGUGCGUGGACCACAUCUUGAAGGUGGAGGAGUUUGAAAGGAGCUGGAUGGCCAUGAUUGAAACAUAUCAAGUCCAAGACAACGAGACGCUUGCUAACCUGUGGGAGAAGCGAAUGUACUGGGUGCCAGCCUACUUCAUGCAGUGCUUCUUUCCCUUUCUGCAGACUACGCAGCGCAGCGAGGGGUUCAAUGCUGUUUUGAAGUGGUACGUGAGCCCUGGCAACUCAUUGCUACAGUUUGCCAAGCAGUACACAGCUUUGAAACAAAAAAUUCUGGGAUCUGAGCUACAGCAAGAAGCUACCACCGCGCUAAAGCAGCCGAAAUUGCUAACGUAUUUACCGAUGGAGAGGCAAAUGAGCAAGAUAUACACAAACAAGAUCUUUAACAAGUAA
rnacentral:rRNA from 1 species